GCACAAAAUGUGCCUAUCACCCACGCACUGCGUCGCUACUAAGGCAUGUAACCAUAGACAGUUUGUUGGCGCCAUCACUAUGAGAUCACCAGGUCCGGGCAUGGUGUGUAUAACGAAAUGUGGGUCAGAUCUCUGAGUAUUUAAACCGAAUAGGGUACUGCCCAUUGACCCCUACCAUAGAAAGUACAUGAGCCCCCUGGAGACUACCACUCCAAUUUCAGUUUAUAUUGGGAGGGUAUGCCGCAGCACAUUAAGGGUAAUGUGUGUGUAUCCUAUUAUUUCUU